rnacentral:rRNA from 1 species
AACGAACGCUGGCGGCAGGCCUAACACAUGCAAGUCGAACGCCCUAGCAAUAGGGAGUGGCAGACGGGUGAGUAACACGUGGGAACGUGCCCUUCUCUACGAAAUAGUCUCGGGAAACUGGGGGUAAUACCGUAUACGCUCUUCGGAGGAAAGAUUUAUCGGAGAGGGAUCGGCCCGCGUUGGAUUGGGUAGUUGGUGGGGUAACGGCCUACCAAGCCGACGAUCCAUAGCUGGUUUGAGAGGAUGAUCAGCCACACUGGGACUGAGACACGGCCCAGACUCCUACGGGAGGCAGCAGUGGGGAAUCUUGGACAAUGGGGGGAACCCUGAUCCAGCCAUGCCGCGUGAGCGAUGAAGGCCUUAGGGUUGUAAAGCUCUUUCAGCUGGGAAGAUAAUGACGGUACCAGCAGAAGAAGCCCCGGCUAACUCCGUGCCAGCCGCCGCGGUAACAC